AACGAACGCUGGCGGCAGGCUUAACACAUGCAAGUCGAACGAUGUAGCAAUACAUAGUGGCGCACGGGUGAGUAACGCGUGGGAAUAUACCCUUUAGUAAGGAAUAACUUCGGGAAACUGAAGCUAAUACCUUAUACGCCCUUCGGGGAAAGAUUUAUCGCUAAAGGAUUAGCCCGCGUGAGAUUAGGUAGUUGGUGGGGUAAUGGCCUACCAAGCCUACGAUCUCUAGCUGGUCUGAGAGGAUGAUCAGCCACACUGGAACUGAGACACGGUCCAGACUCCUACGGGAGGCAGCAGUGGGGAAUAUUGGGCAAUGGACGAAAGUCUGACCAGCCAUGCCGCGUGUGUGAUGAAGGCCUUAGGGUUGUAAAGCACUUUCGUUGGUGACGAUAAUGACGGUAACCAAAGAAAGAAGCCCGGCUAACUUCGUGUCCAGCAGCCGCGGUAAU
rnacentral:rRNA from 1 species